GAGCAGCCCUCGGAGGACAGGUCCCAGA
rnacentral:piRNA from 1 species